AGAAAGUCAUACAGUGGUGCUCAUAACUAAUUGAUCAAAAUCAGUUACAGAUUCUUUUGCUUGCUCCACUCCCACUAUUUCACCUGACUAGCCUAAA
rnacentral:sRNA from 1 species